rnacentral:rRNA from 1 species
AAUUUGUUCAAACGGUGGAAUAUGUGGUUUAAUGCGACAAUCCACGCAAAAUCUUACCAGUAUUUUUUUUUUUUUUUAAAUAUUUUUAUAAAAUUCUUAAUAAAAAAAAAAUAGGUAUUGCAUGGCUGUCGUCAGUUCGUGUUGUGAAAUGUAAAAUUUAGUUUUUAAAAAAACGAAUGUAACCUUUUUAAAAGUAAUACAUCUCUAGUAAUAUAAAAAUUAUGAGUGUAACUUUUAUUUAAUAGUUAGUAAAAAGCUGAAGUCAAGUCCUUAUGGUCUUUAUAUACUGGGCUAUACAUGUGUUACAUAGGAUAAAAUAAUAAGAAGCAAUUAUGUAAAUAAGCGCAAUUCUUAAAAAAUUUCCUUUGUUCAGAUUAUUUUAUGGAACUCUAAAAUAUGAAGUUGGAAUCGUUAGUAAUUGUAAAUUAAAAUGGUACAGUGAAGUUUAUGUCAAAUUUUGCACACACUGCCCAUCACGCUCGAAAAAUUAUUAAAAAUAGAAAAUUUUAAAAUUUUUUUAGAAUUUUUCUGUUGAUAUUAUUAUUAAUAAUUU